rnacentral:rRNA from 1 species
CGAAUGCUGACAUAAGUAACGAUAAAGCGGGUGAAAAGCCCGCUCGCCGGAAGACCAAGGGUUCCUGUCCAACGUUAAUCGGGGCAGGGUGAGUCGACCCCUAAGGCGAGGCCGAAAGGCGUAGUCGAUGGGAAACAGGUUAAUAUUCCUGUACUUGGUGUUACUGCGAAGGGGGGACGGAGAAGGCUAUGUUGGCCGGGCGACGGUUGUCCCGGUUUAAGCGUGUAGGCUGGUUUUCCAGGCAAAUCCGGAAAAUCAAGGCUGAGGCGUGAUGACGAGGCACUACGGUGCUGAAGCAACAAAUGCCCUGCUUCCAGGAAAAGCCUCUAAGCAUCAGGUAACAUCAAAUCGUACCCCAAACCGACACAGGUGGUCAGGUAGAGAAUACCAAGGCGCUUGAGAGAACUCGGGUGAAGGAACUAGGCAAAAUGGUGCCGUAACUUCGGGAGAAGGCACGCUGAUAUGUAGGUGAAGUGAUUUACUCAUGGAGCUGAAAUCAGUCGAAGAUACCAGCUGGCUGCAACUGUUUAUUAAAAACACAGCACUGUGCAAACACGAAAGUGGACGUAUACGGUGUGACGCCUGCCCGGUGCCGGAAGGUUAAUUGAUGGGGUCAGCGCAAGCGAAGCUC